ACGGGUGAGUAACGCGUAUGCAACCUACCUACAACGAGGGAACUAACCGUGAAAACGGACUAAUACCCCAUAAAACAGGGAUCCCGCAUGGGAAUAUUUGUUAAAGAUUUAUCGGUUGUAGAUGGGCAUGCGUUCCAUUAGCUAGUUGGUGAGGUAACGGCUCACCAAGGCAACGAUGGAUAGGGGAACUGAGAGGUUUAUCCCCCACACUGGUACUGAGACACGGACCAGACUCCUACGGGAGGCAGCAGUGAGGAAUAUUGGUCAAUGGGCGCAAGCCUGAACCAAGCCACGUCGCGUGAAGGAAGACCGGCCCUACGGGUUGUAAACUUCUUUUGUAAGGGAAUAAAGUGUAGUACGUGUACUAUUUUGCAUGUACCUUACGAAUAAGGAUCGGCUAACUCCGUGCCAGCCGCUGC
rnacentral:rRNA from 1 species